rnacentral:lncRNA from 1 species
AAAAAAAAAAGAUCAUAAGAUAGUAGCUUUUAUUAGUAAGCAUGUAUUAUUCUCUAUAUAUCAACCAGUUGGCGGAGGAAAGUACUGCAUUUGAUAGAGAGCAGUGACCUCCAUGUGAUUAUGAUCCAGCCCACGAGGGUUUGGGGGAAAUGAGCAUCAUGUAAUAUAAAGUUGUCUGGAGGUAAUAAGCGACAGUUAACAGUUGUUAUAAACAUCCAGAACUCACGUAGUCUCUGCCACCUUAUAUACAAAAAGAAAUGGACUAGAGUUUUUUUUAGAAUUUGUACAUUUCAUUGAAAUCAUUAUCGAUAUUAAAAAAUGUUUUAACCUUAUCUGCUCUAAAAUUACUGUUGAUGAUCUUAAUUUGUUGAUCAAAACGUAACCAUAAUAUGUAUGUGAUAUUGUUGUUAGGUGGAGACAAGGAAUAUACUAUAAAACAUAGGGCAAGUAUUUAAAUCAGUAUUUCUGUAGGAAUUGUCAGCAUAUUACUAUUGUUAUUAUGACUUAUAGAUUUGUCUGUCGUAGGGUUGAAGAUACACCGGCGAUAAUUAAUACAACUGCUAAGGUAGUCCUACAAGAUUAUUCUAUAAUUAAGUACUUUAUGUAAUAAAUGUCAGGUCCGUCACUGGAACAGCAUGAUGUGGCAAAUCAAGUGUUAUCAAUAGAAUAUGAAGGGAGGCCGGUUACAGUCAAAAAGCAAUGAAAAGAUGUUUUUGUCUGGCAUAUAAAAAACUGUAUUCCUCAUCAGCUGGCUUUGGCAGUUUUUACAUACAGUGUAUAACAAUUUGGUUUCACACAGCCGAGUUUGUGAUGAAAAUGAUUUUAAAUGUUCAAUACAAUUGUAAAGUGAUGCUUGAGAAUAUUUCAUGUAUUAUUUUAAGUGUAACUCGGGCUAUAAAGUCUCGCGUGUUUUCGUGUCAUGUAUGUUUUGUAUUGUAUCCAUUUUUAUCGGUGUAUUUUCCUGUUUAUAUGCUUCGCGAUCACCCUUGUUUACGUUGUAGACCUUUGUAUAUUACUGUAAGUUUUGUACCGAUAAGGUGCUGGAGUUUUACUUUUUUUUUCCUUAUAACAGGUUCUUUCAUGUCGUUCCAUCCUCCAUGCUAGAACUAUUUACGUAGAAACUGGAUACACCCAGUAUCAAUAAACUAAGUCGAGUUUAGCGAACUUUUCUGACUUUUCUUAUUAAGAAAGCGGAAACGUUAUAAAACCCACCUAGUAUAAACGUCAUUCAUUGAUCUAUAUACAAUAUUCCAUCAGUUACAUUUAUGAAGAGACACUUUUUCGUGAUCUAAACAGAUAAUAUACAGCCGAACUAAUGUGCUGAAAGAAAGCAGACUUACCAUUUUGUAUGCUACAGAUAACUUAUAUUUUGCGAAUUCACUUUUCUGUAUUGAUAAAACAAUAAUUCACAAUUCACUCCACGCGCAUGUCGCACGGCUAGUAAUUGUUGGCGUGUAACAUGAUUUUGCGAUUGAUACUUGACACAAUUUUAGGUAAAACAUCACUGGAUGUAUAAAUAUUUUACAGUAUACAUUGGGGAAGUAUCAUGACAUUGACUGCCUUCGUAUUAUAAUAUGUACUUUGUAAUAAAUUUGUCUUCAUGAAACUGCAUUAAAUCAUCAUCAUUA